rnacentral:rRNA from 1 species
UAGAAAAACUGAGGAAUCCUGACGAAACUCGGGAGUGCUCGCAAGAGAACUCAGGUCCAGGUGCUGCAUGGCUGUCGUCAGCUCGUGUCGUGAGAUGUUGGGUUAAGUCCCGCAACGAGCGCAACCCUUGUCCUUAGUUGCCAUCAUUUAGUUGGGCACUCAAAGGAGACUGCCGGGGUCAACCCGGAGGAAGGUGGGGAUGACGUCAAGUCCUCAUGGCCCUUAUGUCCUGGGCUACACACGUGCUACAAUGGUCGGUACAAAGCGCUGCGAAGCCGCAAGGUGGAGCGAAUCGCAAAAAGCCGGCCUCAGUACGGAUUGCACUCUGCAACUNGAGUGCAUGAAGUCGGAAUUGCUAGUAAUCGCUGAUCAGCAGGCAGCGNGUGAAUACGUUCCCGGGCCUUGUACACACCGCCCGUCACACCAUGGGAGUCGAGUGCUCCAGAAGUGGCCGCGCUAACCCGCAAGGGAGGCAGGUC